UUAAUGUGAUAAAAUUAUUUUAAAUAUCUUUCUUGAAAUGAAAUGUUAUUCGUUUUUAAAGGUAUCUGGUUUUCUUAGAAAUAAAUUUAAUUUACAUUUAUUCUAGUAUUUUAUUUAUUAUAAAUAAAAUUUAUAGUUUAAAUGAAUAUCUUUAGGGAUAAGCUUAAAGAUAAAUAAUUAUAAGAAAUAAUAUAAUAAAUUACAAGUAUGCUUAGAAGUAGCAAUCUUUUACGAAAUUGUUAUAAAUUAUAAUAUAAAAAAAUUAUUUAAUAGUCUUUAAUUAUAUAUAAGAAUUUUAUUUUUAAUUUUAUAAAGUAAGUAAAUAUGAAAAAAUUAGUAUAUGUUAUGUAAAAAUAAAUGAAAUAAAAAGAUUUUUGUAAAGAACUCGGCAAAAAUAAUGUCCGCCUGUUUAACAAAAACAUGUCUUUUUGAAUGAAUAAAAAGUCUGACCUGCCCACUGAAUUAUUAAAUGGCCGCAGUACUCUAACUGUGCAAAGGUAGCAUAAUCAUUAGUCUUUUAAUUGAAGGCUGGAAUGAAUGGUUGGACGAGAUAUUAACUGUUUCAUAAAAAUUAAAUUAGAAUUUUAUUUUUUAGUCAAAAAGCUAAAAUUAUAUUAAAAGACGAGAAGACCCUAUAAAGCUUUAUAUAUUUUUAAUUAAUUUAUAAAAAGAUUCUUAAAUAAAUUAAUUUUUAGUAUAUUUUAUUGGGGUGAUAGUAAAAUUUAAAAAACUUUUAUUUUGUUAUUUCAUUAAUUUAUGAAUUAUUGAUCCGUAAAUUACGAUUAAAAAAUUAAGUUACUUUAGGGAUAACAGCGUAAUCUUUUUGGAGAGUUCAUAUCGAUAAAAAGGAUUGCGACCUCGAUGUUGGACUAAGGAAUAUCUUUGGCGCAGCCGUUGAAGAAUAAAGUCUGUUCGACUUUUAAUCCCUUACAUGAUCUGAGUUCA
rnacentral:rRNA from 1 species